rnacentral:rRNA from 1 species
UACGGAGGGGACAAGCGUUGUUCGGAAUUACUGGGCGUAAAGCGCGCGUAGGCGGUUUUGUAAGUCAGGGGUGAAAUCCCGGGGCUCAACCUCGGAACUGCCUUUGAUACUGCAAAUCUCGAGUCCGGAAGAGGUGAGUGGAAUUCCUAGUGUAGAGGUGAAAUUCGUAGAUAUUAGGAAGAACACCAGUGGCGAAGGCGGCUCACUGGUCCGGUACUGACGCUGAGGUGCGAAAGCGUGGGGAGCAAACAGG